rnacentral:misc_RNA from 1 species
CCAGCAGCUGAAGAACAAUGCCAUCAGUGGCCACCCCCAGCCCCAGCCCCAGCCCAGCCCCAGCCCCACCCCCAGUCUCCUCGCAGUCCUGGCUCCCCAAGAUGGUCACCAAACUCCACAGUCUGAAAGUGGGCCCCAAGAUUCCAGAUCAGGGUAUGAAAAUGGAGCACCCUGUUCCUCCCCCACCGAACUUUCCCGCGCCACCCCCACCCGUGUCCCCACAAGAUCGGUACCAAGCUGUGGUACAAGAUAGAACAAGGGGUAGAUCUCCUUCACCCCCACUGCCCCCACCCCCACUUGAUGGCACAGCCAAUAGGGGUGUGUCUGCUGUUCCCCCCCCCUCCCCAAUAUCCACCAUACCCACCAGCAAUGCCAAAGCUACCCGUGCCAAGGACAGAGAUGUUACCCGACCCAACCCGCCAGCACAAAAUGGGGACGAGGUCAAGGCCACACAGCUGAUGGCAGAGAUCGGCAAUAUCAAACUGAAGAGGGUCAACAGCCCCCAGGCAGCUGCCCCUGUUCCACCAAUGCAACCAGUGAUGGACAACAGUGGUGGUUCCUCCCCGCUCAACUUCCGCCUCCGCCCCACUCCCAAUGCUGUGGACAUCUACAAGGAUGGUCGUGAUGACACAACUAAGGAAAUGCCUGUGGAAGAGUUACCUCCCCCUCCACCAUUAGACAUGGAACCGGAACCAGAGCUGGAACCUACACGACCCGUGGCCGUGGUUACAGCACAGCCACAUGAGCAGAAGAAGAUGAAACCCGGCAAUAAAGGAAAGAAAGAGAGGUCCCCCUUACCUUACAACAUGGAUCUCGAGAUACCUGACGAUAUUGACAUCAGCAGCGUGCCAGGUGUGGUGCCCAUCACUCAGGACACUCCCAACUGGAAGCGAGAGAUGGUAGAAAAGAAGAAUAGAGAGAUGAUAGAAGAAUACGUUAGGAAGAUCCUGAGAGAGAGGGAGGAGCAAGCCAAGUGGAAGGAUGUCCCUGAGUGGAAGAGGAAGAUACUCUUGAAGAAAUCCCAGGAGGAACAGGACGCAGCUCUGGCCAAGGAUGUUCCGGAAGAGCCCAAAGUUGUGGGGAAGAAAGCCCCCCCCCAGAUAGAGCGACCAAGCAACGCUGACUGUGGUGUCCCUAAGACUAACACAAACAUUACCCCUGCAGCCAUGGCGAUGGACCCUGCGAACUGGAGAGCAUGCCGCCAUGGAAACGGGAGCUCUUGUUCAAGAGAGAGAAAGUUCCGAUGACAUUUUUCAACGAAUAUAAUCCUGAUGAAGAAGAUGAAGCACCUCCGAGUUGAUUCGUGAAAAAUGUGAUAUUUUUUUCUGCUGAACAUUUUCUCAGAAACAAGACAGAAAGUGAACAAAUUACUGAGGUGUUUCACUGUGUCUUCCAUCGGAUCUGAACACAGAGUUCUGGGUGACACAGAUGUGACAUGUAACACACAUGUGUCCAUGUGACCUUCACUACAAGGUCACUCAUUGUUUCAUGUACAUGUAGCUGUCUGUCAAUGUUGUGUCUUGGAUGCGUGUCGGCUAGGUCUUACAGUCAAGGUCAAGGUCAGGGAUGACUAUUGAUGCAUGACCUCUAGGCCUGGUACAGACCUAAUGACUGUUUGUAUAUUUAUAACCAAUCCUGCAGCAAUUUGCAUAUUAUUGUUGUGUGUUGCUUAGCAACAGCUACAGAAUCUGCCAAUCAAAAUUCUUUUAUAUGCAUUUAAUGACGCGUUUAUAAAUAAAACAUACCAGCCAACACAGAGCUUAGGGAAGGACUGACAUAUAUCAUUCCUCAGUGCAACAAAAACUAUGCAUUCAUUUCUGUCUUGGAUUCAAACUACAACCACUUCCAUCGGUACGACAUCGGGUGAUGACGCUGUGUAGACUUGCAGGGCGUUGCUGGCAUCUGUCACAAACGUUGUUUGUCAGAUGGAUUUGAAAUAUAAAUACAAUAAGGGAAUUCUGGCAUAGCGUUACCCCAAACAACAUCACCAGUGACGUACACAACAAACAGUGUCAGACAUGACCAGACAGUGUCAGACAUAACCAGACAGUGUCAGACAUGACCAGACAGUGUCAGACAUGACCAGACAGUGUCGGACAUGACCAGACAGUGUCGGACAUAACCAGACAGUGUCGGACAUGGCCAGACAGUGUCGGACAUGACCAGACAGUGUCAGACAUGACCAGACAGUGUCGGACAUGACCAGACAGUGUCAGACAUGACCAGACAGUGUCAGACAUGACCAGACAGUGUCGGACAUGACCAGACAGUGUCGGACAUGACCAGACAGUGUCGGACAUAACCAGACAGUGUUGAACAUGGCCAGACAGUGUCGGACAUGACUAGACAUUGUCAGACAUGACCAGACAGUGUCAGACAUAACCAGACAGUGUUGGACAUGGCCAGACAGUGUCAGACAUGAUCAGACAGUGUCAGACAUGACCAGACAGUGUCAGACAUAACCAGACAGUGUUGGACAUGGCCAGACAGUGUCGGACAUGGCCAGACAGUGUUGGACAUAACCAGACAGUGUUGGACAUGGCCAGACAGUGUCGGACAUGACUAGACAUUGUUGGACAUGACUAGUAGGUGGACACUAGUUGCUCCCAAGUGUAGUGUCAGUAACAGGGAGUAACAUUUUUACAUGAACACGAUUGCUUGUGGCUGUAUUACAUGAGUAUUUGUCACUCUACAUUUUAUGUGGAUGUUUUUUACAUGAAUGUGAACAUUACCAACAAGUGAACUUGUCAAAUGUGUAGAAAUCGGUAGUGUUAGAAAGAAAGGUCUUCCGGGGUCUGUCUACAUAACACAGACGGAACACAACACUGACUGAAUAACUGAUGGAACACAACAUUGACUGAAUAACUGAUGGAACACAACACUAACUGAAUAACUGAUGGAACACAACAUUGACUGAAUAACUGAUGGAACACAACACUGACUGAAAUAACUGAUGGAACACAACACUGACUGAAAUAACUGAUGGAACACAACACUGACUGAAAUAACUGAUGGAACACAACACUGACUGAAAUAACUGAUGGAACACAACACUGACUGAAAUAACUGAUGGAACACAACAUUGACUGAAUAACUGAUGGAACACAACACUAACUGAAUAACUGAUGGAACACAACAUUGACUGAAUAACUGAUGGAACACAACACUGACUGAAAUAACUGAUGGAACACAACACUGACUGAAUAACUGAUGGAACACAACACUGACUGAAAUAACUGAUGGAACACAACACUGACUGAAAUAACUGAUGGAACACAAAACUGAUGGAACACCUGACUGAUGGGAGAAGGUGUAUACAUUGUUGUACAGACAUGCCAACUCAUAACUUACACACUGUGUUGUACAGACAGGCCAACUCAUAACUUACACACUGUGUUGUACAGACAGGCUAACUCAUAACUUACACACUGUGUUGUGUAGACUGGCCCACAUAUGACUUACAAAAUGUGUCACAUUUGAUGUAGUGUAAUGGACUUGUAAUGCAGUAUUUUGUUGUGGUAACUUUCCUUCCAGAUUCAAGUAUAACUGUGUUUUCUAUGUAUUUUGGAUACAUGAUGACAUAUUGAUAGCUUGUACGUGCAGCUAUGCACGGAUCUCCUCCUCCUGGUCCCGAUGACCCUGUGUCUACCACUGGAUCAGUAAUGCUGCCUGUUUUCCUGUCACACUCGCAGUAUGCAUGGUUAUUAUUUAGUUGAAUAUUUUGUUUCUUUGUAACUUUGAUAACAAAAUCAGUAUUUCAACUUUACAGCGGUAAACAUUUGUUUGCAGUUCAAUUCCUGUUUAUUUACAAAGAUGUAAUCAAACUUAAUUUUAUGUAAUAUUUAUUGUUCAAUUAUAGUGGAUUAUAUUCAAUAUUUGGUGCUGAAUCAUUAAGUAUUGACAAUCAUAACUGCUCAAACACCUGCUUCAUUUAUCAGCACCUGUGUCAGGGACUCCGUUAUCUCUGGCUUCCUGUUGUCACGUGACAUCGCCGUCUUAUUCCACUCAGUGAAUCUGGCUCUGUGGGCUCUGUGGGCUCUGUGCUGCAGUCUGUGGUACACAGGAUUCCGUCAUCAAAGUGCUGAGCUGGCUCUGUGACAUUGGUGACCUGUCAGGGGUUGCAAUCAUGUGAUGUCCUCACAAUGCUCACCACCACCUGUGCUACCACUGAUUGUUCCACCAGUGUUUGCUCCACCCCUCUACAGUAUUGUACAACAGUAUUACAUUGAUAGCACCAGCAGUAUUGCACAUCCUGCAGCUAGACCGCCACAGCUAGACCGCCACAGCUAGACCGGCACAGCUAGACGCCGGCACAGCUAGACCGCCACAGCUAGACUGGCACAGCUAGACCGGCACAGCUAGGUCGGCCGUGAUACUGUAUAGGCUACCCAUACUGACAUAUGAAUAUCAAACUAAAUCACAGUUGCCAUCAAGUUCUUGCACAUACCUGGUGCACCACAAACUGAAUUGUAUAUCAAAUUAAAAUACAUGUGGAAAGCCUGAGAUCUGUGCUUCCUCAUGUGAGCAUGUUUGUAUUUUGGUGUCUACCUACCGAGGUAGUUUGUUAGGCAAGAUAUUGGGAGGUGAUGUACACUGUCACCAAUAUGUAACCAGCUUUGUAUUGGAUGUAUACUUUGACAGUUUUUGAUACAUUUACAAACCUGAUGUGUACUUAACGCCCUGUUGAAUGUCCUUGACCUGGGGACCUUGGAAACAGAGAGCCGAGUUUACUUCAGAGAAACAUGCACUGGCAUAAACAUUGGUCGAGACAGGUACUGAGUGACCUGGCAAGAUUCUGACAUUGGUCGAGACAGGUACUGAUUGACCUGGCAAGAUUCUGACAUUGGUCGAGACAGGUACUGAUUGACCUGGCAAGAUUCUGACAUUGGUCGAGACAGGUACUGAUUGACCUGGCAAGAUUCUGACAUUGGUCGAGACAGGUACUGAUUGACCUGGCAAGAUUCUGACAUUGGUCGAGACAGGUACUGAGUGACCUGGCAAGAUUCUGACAUUGGUCGAGACAGGUUCUGAGUGACCUGGCAAGAUUCUGACGUUAUUGUGAUUCACGAUGAUCACAUCAUGGUUAUCAAGGUCAAAGUCAUUUGCCUGCCACAGGCCCCGUCAGUUUCACCAUCAGUAUGUACAAGUGUGACAACAGAUUCAGCCUUGUAUACCCUCUUUUCCUCUUUUGUUUUGCCUGAUUUAUAUUCCGCUGAUGUAGACUCCCGAGUGUGUUUUAGGUGUAUGACUUGCUGCCCAGCGUAGUCCCAACUGAGAACCAGUUUGACUGGGUUCCUGUAGUGACUCAUCACACCUGUCUGUAGAUAGUUUCUUGAAAUGCUCAGAUUUUCGGAACUUUAGUAUUUUCCAGCCUUUACCUGUUCUUAUUUGUAGAUAUAUUUUUUGUGUUUUAUGUACAGAAUUGUCACUGGUCAUGAAAAUAAACAUUUUCAUCCAUGUCUUGUGCA